CCUACGGGUGGCAGCAGUGGGGAAUAUUGCGCAAUGGGCGAAAGCCUGACGCAGCGACGCCGCGUGAGGGAUGAAGGCCUUCGGGUUGUAAACCUCUUUCAGCUCCGACGAAGCGAAAGUGACUGUAGGAGCAGAAGAAGCACCGGCUAACUACGUGCCAGCAGCCGCGGUAAUACGUAGGGUGCAAGCGUUGUCCGGAAUUAUUGGGCGUAAAGAGCUCGUAGGCGGUCCGUCACGUCUGCUGUGAAAACUCGGGGCUCAACCCCGAGCCUGCAGUGGAUACGGGUGGACUAGAGUGCGGUAGGGGAGACUGGAAUUCCUGGUGUAGCGGUGAAAUGCGCAGAUAUCAGGAGGAACACCGGUGGCGAAGGCGGGUCUCUGGACCGAUACUGACGCUGAGGAGCGAAAGCGUGGGGAGCGAACAGGAUUAGAUACCCGAG
rnacentral:rRNA from 1 species